GUCUACAGCCAUACCAUCCUGAAAACGCAUGAUCCCGUCAGAUCUCAAUGCAAACAAGGGUAGGGCUUGUUCAGUACCAGUGUGGGUGACUGACUGGGAAUAGCAAGUGCUGUAGUCC
ensembl:rRNA 5S_rRNA 5S ribosomal RNA